rnacentral:misc_RNA from 1 species
AGCGUCAUUAUCGUCCUCAAGCUCUGCUUGGUAUUGGGAGCGCCCCCGCGAGGGGACCCCCCCGAAAGGCAGCGGCGGUGCGGCCGGGCUCCCUAGCGCAGUGACUUCGUUUCGCUAACCGGGACCCGUCCGCCUCGGCCGGACAACACCGAACCCCAAAGAUUGACCUCGGAUCAGGUAGGAAUACCCGCUGAACUUAA